AAAUCGUAGAGGAGAGUGCUGAAGCUGAGGAAUGGAUCACACCAUCCCCUGAAACGGUGGCACUGGAUGGCAGUCUCUGAUUCCACUACUGAAGGCGUCCCUGUUUUCUUCUGCUAUGUUCAGGGAUUUCCUUCCUGCACAGGGCCUAGCAAUGGUCUGCUCUUUGUCUGGAAUGUGGGGCACUCGUUCGUGC